rnacentral:lncRNA from 1 species
UCUGGAUCCAAGGCAAAAAGUUUAACUCUGCUUUCACUUUUGAGCUUGAUUUCUGCUUCUCUGGUACUCUUUGUUAUUUCAGGAUAAUAACUGUCAAAACUACUUGAUGAGCUUUCCAUUUUGCUUUGUUCAUCAUCUUCAUGAGAUUCUCCAUUUCUCUUUUCUUGCAUUGCAGCCUCAAAGUUAAGCUGAAGGAUUUUGUUCAGAGUGUUUAUCCAUUCUUCCAUUUCAAGUUCACUGUCUGCAGCUAAAAGGUAACUACUCUUGUCUUGCAUCUUGAGUUCAAAUGCAAAACGUCUGACUUUAUUAUUCUGAACCACUCCCAUGCAUGAAUCUAGGAAUAUAGAUCCCUUCGGUUCUUUUGAUAUUUUUUCAUCUUUGUAGAAAUUGAGAUUAUACGAUCCAUCACCAAGUUGGAUUAAGUGGAAAAAUCUUCUUUUAAAUGAUCUCAUUGUCACACUGAUUGCACUAUUCAUGUUGCCUUUGUACAGCCAUCCUUGUUUUGUUAUUCCACCUUUCUGAGACCCAAGAGAUGCUGCAUCCUCGUCUUUAUCUGCUUCUUCAUCCA